CGGAUGAUUGGGCCUCGUAGAAGAAAACCCGGAAGCGAUUGCGAUAUUGUGUUUAUGUUGGUGUAGUUUUACACUGUGUGUGAGCCGUUAAAAGUGAAUUAUAGAAAUAAAGUACUGUCAGUAAUCAAUCCAUCCGACCCCUCCGUCCUGUUCCUUUCCACUCACGAACACAUUACACUGAUUUAACCAAAAAGCAGCCAUUACCUCCAGGUGCCCUCCAUUAGUGAAGAGUGAAGUCCGAGGUAGAGCAAACAGUUGGACUCUCUUCACCAUGAUGAAAGAAAGAUCCCCCUCUCUACGUUGUGAAUGAACCAGACACCAUACAACAUUCCCUCAAAGAUGAUGAUGAUCUAAAAAUCUUCAGUCUAAACAGCUUUUUGGACUCUCAUUCUGAUGAUGGCACCCAUUCACUGAAGAAGAUCCAUUGGUGAGUGAGUGAUGUAAGAAAAAUUUUUUCCAAAUCUGUUCUGAUGAAGAAUCAAACUCAUUUACAUCUGAAUGGCCAUUGAGGGCAAGUCAUUUUUCAGCAAAUUUUCAUUUUGGGUGAACUAAUGCUUUAAAUAUGGUGGUUUUCAAAUAAAAGCCCUCAAAAGAAAAAGACAAAUCCUUCUCAGAAAGCUUGCAUUGCAUUUUUGCUAAUGACAUGCAUGGCACAUCUAUUAGAAGGGUGAAUGGGAAAGAAAACAUUAUUUGCACAGCGUUUCUAUGCUUUAUUUGGUUUGCUGGCUGUUUGCAUUCGAAGUCUGUUUCUCAUACCGCCCGUGGUGUUGUAGCGGGACCCCAGAGAAUCUGACGGCAGUCACAUGAGCAGCUUCUCUCCUCCCUGGAGGUCCAAUUACUGCUGGCUUUAGAGCAGUGGUCAGGCUGGAGAGAGGCUGAGUGCUCCGGGUCUGCUGCAGCUCUGAUUAGUCAAAGACUGCCCGAGAAUUAGAACAUGAUCUAG